rnacentral:rRNA from 1 species
GAUGAACGCUAGCGGCAGGCUUAAUACAUGCAAGUCGAGGGCAGCAGGUCUGUAGCAAUACAGAUGCUGGCGACCGGCAAACGGGUGCGGAACACGUACAGAACCUUCCUUCGAGCGGGGAAGUAGCCCAGAGAAAUUUGGAUUAAUACCCACUAGUAUAUUGGAGUGGCGAUCACUUUGUAGUAUUAAAGUAAUUAUUCACUUGUAAGAAUG